rnacentral:rRNA from 1 species
AGAUUGAACGCUGGCGGAAUGCUUUACACAUGCAAGUCGAGCGGCAGCGCGGGGCAACCUGGCGGCGAGCGGCGAACGGGUGAGUAAUGCAUCGGAACAUGUCCAUGUCGUGGGGGAUAGCCCGGCGAAAGCCGGAUUAAUACCGCAUAAGCCCGAGAGGGGAAAGUGGGGGACCGCAAGGCCUCACGCGAUUGGGUUGGCCGAUGUCCGAUUAGCUAGUUGGUGAGGUAACGGCUCACCAAGGCUUCGAUC